AUUGAACGCUGGCGGCAUGCUUUACACAUGCAAGUCGAACGGCAGCGCGGGCUUCGGCCUGGCGGCGAGUGGCGAACGGGUGAGUAAUGCAUCGGAACGUGCCCAGUAGUAGGGGAUAGCCCGGCGAAAGCCGGAUUAAUACCGCAUACGACCUGAGGUUGAAAGCGGGGGACCGAAAGGCCUGGCGCUAUUGGAGCGGCCGAUGUCGGAUUAGCUAGUUGGUGGGGUAAAGGCUUACCAAGGCGACGAUCCGUAGCUGGUCUGAUAGGACGACCAGCCACACUGGGACUGAGACACGGCCCCGACUCCGACGGGAGGCCACAGGGGGGAAUUUUGGACAAUGGGGGCAACCCUGAUCCAGGCAAGCCGCGUGCGGGAAGAAGGCCUUCGGGUUGUAAACCGCUUUUGUUCGGGAAGAAAUCCUCUGGGCUAAUACCCCGGGGGGAUGACGGUACCGGAAGAAUAAGCCCCGGCUAACUACGUG
rnacentral:rRNA from 1 species